CCUACGGGUGGCAGCAGUGGGGAAUAUUGGACAAUGGGGGGAACCCUGAUCCAGCGACGCCGCGUGAUUGAAGAAGUAUUUCGGUAUGUAAAGCUCUAUCAGCAGGGAAGAAAGAAAUGACGGUACCUGACUAAGAAGCCCCGGCUAACCACGUGCCAGCAGCCGCGGUAAUACGGAGGGGGCAAGCGUUAUACGGAUUUUCGGGGUGGAAAGGGAGCGUAGACGGCGAUGCAAGUCUGAAGUGAAAGGCGGGGGCCUAACCCCCGGAGUGCUUUUGAAACUGUAUGGCUGGAGUGCAGGAGAGGUAAGUGGAAUUCCUAGUGUAGCGGUGAAAUGCGUAGAUAUUAGGAGGAACACCAGUGGCGAAGGCGGCUUACUGGACUGUAACUGACGUUGAGGCUCGAAAGCGUGGGGAGCAAACAGGAUUAGAUACCCUAGUAGUC
rnacentral:rRNA from 1 species